rnacentral:rRNA from 1 species
GAUGAACGCUAGCGGCAGGCUUAACACAUGCAAGUCGAGGGGUAUAGUUCUUCGGAACUAGAGACCGGCGCACGGGUGCGUAACGCGUAUGCAAUCUACCUUUUACAGGGGGAUAGCCCAGAGAAAUUUGGAUUAAUACCCCAUAGUAUGUUAGAGUGGCAUCAUUUUAACAUUAAAGUUCCAACGGUAAAAGAUGAGCAUGCGUCCCAUUAGCUAGAUGGUAAGGUAACGGCUUACCAUGGCGACGAUGGGGAGGGGUCCUGAGAGGGAGAUCCCCCACACUGGUACUGAGACACGGACGAGACUCCUACGGGAGGCAGCAGUGAGGAAUAUUGGACAAUGGGCGCAAGCCUGAUCCAGCCAUGCCGCGUGCAGGAAGACGGUCCUAUGGAUUGUAAACUGCUUUUGUACAGGAAGAAACACUCCCUCGUGAGGGAGCUUGACGGUACUGUAAGAAUAAGGAUCGGCUAACUCCGUGCCAGCAGCCGCCGUAACAC